rnacentral:rRNA from 1 species
GAUGAACGCUGGCGGCGUGCCUAAUACAUGCAAGUCGAGCGAACGGACGAGAAGCUUGCUUUUCUGAUGUUAGCGGCGGACGGGUGAGUAACACGUGGAUAACCUACUUAUAAGACUGGGAUAUCUUCGGGACACCGGAUCUAAUACCGGAGAAUAUUUUGAACCGCAUGGUUCAAAAGUGAAAGACGGUCUUGCUGUCACUUAUAGCUGGAUACGAGCUGCAUUAGCUAGUUGGUAAGGUAACGGCUUACCAAGGCAACGAUGCAUAGCCGACCUGAGAGGGUGAUCGGCCACACUGGAACUGAGACACGGUCCAGACUCCUACGGGAGGCAGCAGUAGCGAAUCUUCCGCAAUGGGCGAGAGCCUGACGGAGCAACGCCGCGUGAGUGGUGAAGGUCCUCGGAUCGUAAAACUCUGUUAUUAGGGAAGAACAUAUGUGUAAGUAGCUGUGCACAUCUUGACGGUACCUAAUCAGAAAGCCACGGCUAACUACGUG